rnacentral:rRNA from 1 species
AUUGAACGCUGGCGGCAGGCCUAACACAUGCAAGUCGAACGAGUGGCGGACGGGUGAGUAAUGGUUUGGAAACUGCCCGAUGGAGGGGGAUAACUACUGGAAACGGUAGCUAAUACCGCAUACCAUCGGAUGUGCCCAGAGGGGAUUAGCUAGUCGGUGGGGUAAUGGCUCACCUAGGCGACGAUGCCUAGCUGGCCUGAGAGGAUGACCAGCCACACUGGGACUGAGACACGGCCCAGACUCCUACGGGAGGCAGCAGUGGGGAAUAUUGCACAAUGGGCGCAAGCCUGAUGCAGCCAUGCCGCGUGUAUGAAGAAGGCCUUCGGGUUGUAAAGUACUUUCAGCGAGGAGGCGGUACUCGCAGAAGAAGCACCGGCUAACUCCGUGCCAGCAGCCGCGGUAAUAC